AGGGAGACAACACAAUGAUUUUGAUGCCUGAGUACUUUUAUUCUUAGGCCGAAAUCCUGUCACCUUAGGUCGAUCGGUACCUCAGCUUUGAAGUCAAGGAUCAGCAGCAAUGUUGAUGGCUUGAUGGAGAUUUUCAGUUCCUAAACUUUGUCUAGGUCACACCCCAAAGGGAUGAGACUCCUGGGCCAUUAGCUCAGGUGGUUAGAGCGCACCCCUGAUAAGGGUGAGGUCCCUGGUUCAAGUCCAGGAUGGCCCAUUCGGUGUUGGGGGUUUAGCUCAGUUGGUAGAGCGCCUGCUUUGCAAGCAGGAUGUCAGGAGUUCGAGUCUCCUAACCUCCACUGACCGAACUUGAUUCCCAUCUCCAAGUUGUUGGAGUUGAGCUCGAUUGGAGUGUGAUUUAGAUGUGUCCGCUGGAUGACCCCAGCUUCCUGUCAUUCCAAGUUUUAAGCUUAAGGCUUUGAAUUUGGUUGAUAAGAUGCUGGGCUCGGAUCGAAUGAUCAAGCAAUUGAUGAUUUGAUUUGAAGUUCUAGCAGAACCUUGACAACUGCAUAGGUGAAGUCUGGAAAAACAAAGCAUCUUACAGAUGCAUUGUUUUGAGUCUGAUCUUUCGAAAGAGAGAUUGGAUCCAGAACAAUGAAAAUUCUUUUGAGCAAGAGCCGAGACUCUUGAAUGUUCUUUGAUUCGUGUCGAGCGAAUCAGAGUUUGAUCUUGUUUUUAGCGAUAAAAACUUGAAAAUCUGCUUUCAACGGCGGUAAGCGUUCAAGAGGUUAAUU
rnacentral:tRNA from 1 species